GAAGCGAAAGUACGAGCUUGGCCGGCAGCCGGCGAACACGAAGCUGUCGAGCAACAAGACGGUGCGGAGGGUCCGGGUCCGCGGCGGCAACGUCAAGUGGCGCGCGCUCCGUCUCGAUACCGGUAACUUCUCGUGGGGGAGCGAGGCGGUGACGAGAAAGACUCGCAUUCUGGAUGUGAUGUACAACGCUUCGAACAAUGAGCUCGUGAGGACGAAGACUCUGGUUAAGAGUGCUAUAGUGGAGGUUGAUGCCGCACCGUUCAAGCAGUGGUAUCUUCAGCAUUAUGGGGUUGAGAUUGGAAGGAAGAAGAAGACGGCGGCGGCGGCCGCAGCUGCCAAGAAGGAGACAACUGAGGGAGGAGAAGGUGAUGCAACUGCCGAGACAGUGAAAAAGAGCAGCCAUGUUACACGGAAGCUGGAAAAGCGGCAGAAGGAUAGGUCACUUGAUUCCUCCAUUGAGGAUCAAUUUGGAGGAGGGAGGUUGUUGGCUGCCAUCUCUUCACGCCCAGGUCAAUGUGGCAGGGCUGACGGAUACAUAUUGGAGGGAAAGGAGUUUGAGUUUUACUUCAAGAAACUCCAGAAGAAGAAGGGUGGUAAGAGUGGUGGUGCUGCCUGAGUUAUGAUAGUCGAUUUAAUUUGACUGGUUUUGCACUGUUGAGGUCUUCUCUCUUCUUGUUUUGGUUAAGGUUGUGAAAGCAUUGGGCCAUUGGUCUUAGUAUUGAACUAAAGAUCUGUUGGUAUAUUUAUUAUCUGUGUUGUUUUUGAUGUUGUAAUGGACUCUGAGCAAACAAAAU
rnacentral:misc_RNA from 1 species